rnacentral:lncRNA from 10 species
UGAAGGGCGAGAAAAGGUGAGACGGACUCUGGAGGGGAGUGGGAGGCUGAGGUCCAUGUGGACAUUCUCCCCCCACAGAGGAGGCCUGCUGUUGAUGAUGUCCUCUAUCUUUUCUUCCAACUCAGCAGUAAGUCUUGAAGAUUGUGUAUAUCCUUUCAUAGAGAGCUGCUUCAUUCCUGAGAAUGGCUGCCUAGUAUUCCAUGGAGGCCUGGGCCCCGGUCCUGGACCGGCGACCAUCCCAUGCCAGACUUGGCAGGCACGUGCCUCUCUGAGCCUCCACCGCCUUCAUCUGUGAAGUGAGACCGCCAGGUGGGGUGAUUUCCAAGGUCCUUGCCAUCAGACCGUCGAGGAGUCUGUUGAGGAUGCUCUCUCCCUUUCUCUCUGGACUCUUGGAGAACUGAGUCGGACACCAAAGUUUGUGUGGAGCCUGGGAGUGAUGAUCCAGUGGACAUGCAGACAGGAAAAUACCAGCUGAACCCACUCCCACCACAGAGUGAGAAACACAGGCGUGGAGGAUUUUCCAUUUCACGGUGUGUUCAUGGAUGUCAGCUCAUUUCAUUCUUACAGUAAGAAUUAUAUCCCCACCCCUACCCUGCCACACACAAAUACAAGGUUUGAAAAGGCUGAGUGACUUACACAGCGGCCCUGUUGGAGAUCACCAGGCUAACAGCCAUCAGCGGCAGGUCAGAGCCAGGGUGUUGUGGCUCUGCACGGAGCCCCACAUGCCGAUUUAAUGGGCUCUGCCAUGGCUAACGUUAAAUGUCAAUGUGGCCAGGCUGCGGUGCUCAGCUGUUUGGUCAAAUGCCGGUCACAUGCUUCCGUGAAGGCCUUUUUCAAAUGAGAUGAACGUCUAAAUGAGUGGACUGAAAACAGAUCACCCUCCAUCCUCCACAGCAGGGUGGGUCACAUCCAGUCAUUUGGAGGCCAUGGGAGAAAAGACUCAGAUGCCCCAGGGAAAAAGGAAUUCUGCCUCCAGACAGCCUUCUGACUCAAAGCUACAACCUCAGCUCGCACCUGAAUUUCCAGCCUGCUGGCCUGUCCUGCAGAUUUCAGGCUUGGCAGCCCCCAUAAUCACAAGCUCGUCCCUUAAAGUGAAU